rnacentral:tRNA from 1 species
UAGACAGAAGCUUGUUGGUUUAGCAUAUAACUGUUAAUUAUAAGUUUGAAGGAUCAAAGCCUUCCUGUCUAG